rnacentral:lncRNA from 9 species
CUUCCCCCAUCUGCCCCCCCACCCCCAAACCGGAGCCUGGAAAGGGGAGGAUUUAGGAGACUGGAGAAGGCGAGAGAGGAUGGGGUUAUCAGUGGGGCAGAGAGGGGCACCCGGAGCGAACUCCCCCGAAAGCCGAGAGGGGUGGCGUCCUGGGGCACCCGGGGCGAGGAAGGCAGGCGAGGAGCUCGGCGCACCGGCCAGCCCGGCCCGGCAGCCCCGAAGCGGAGCCGUUCUCUUACCUGCCGCCCGCUUGGGUGCCUGCUGUUUCCUCCUUGGCAUCGCUCUACUUCGCUCCAGUCCCACUUCUGGCGCCCCAGCCCCGAGCCGCGCGCGGGGGCCCGCUGUCUCUCUCGCCUCUCUGGGUCUCCUCCGCCUCCUGCCCGGUGGCUCCUAGGGCGUCACUCGGCCUCUGUCCCCCUGACGAUCCCCCCUGCAACUCCUCCACCACGGGCCAGAGACCCCCCUCUCUGGGUGGCAGACACGGGUGGCUGUGCCGGCUGGUUUGAAGUAGAGGUUGGUUCUGCCUUGUUUGUUUGUUUGUUUUGGAUUUUUUUUUCUCUCUUUCUCUCUUUUUGUUUUUGCUUUUUGGAAUUUUUUUUUUUUGGUUUGUUUUUUUUUUUGGUGACUGUUGAGACACUUGAUUUCUUUAUUAAACAUCCAAGACCGGGUUCGAAUGGAAGGGACGAGGGACGCACACGCGCGCGUAAAGAUAAGGAAAAAAAAAAGGCAAUCCUGGGAAGAUAACACCAUUUGGAGUUUAAUUCUCUUCCAUGAUCAGCCAUCCACUUUUGUGAUACCAACCCUGGUGUGAUACCCACCCCAGCUUUGGAGGGUGGAUUCUGACUGGCUAGAGCAAAUAAUCCUAUCUUUCUCUUCUCUCUGGGAACCAUGAUUUGGUCCAUGAUGGAAGAAACCCAGUCAAAACCAAUUUAACCUGUGGAGAAGUUUUCUAGAGCUUCUGGGACAAAAGAAGUGUCUUUCUUAAUUCUUUGAGUUCCACUCCUUCUGUGCAAUGUGUUAGUGUGAAGAUAUAAAGACUUAAAACAACUUCUCUGCUACUAAAAUAGAAGGCCAUGGAACUGCCAAUGAGAACUCACUUGAGUCCCGAAAAGUAGCUGACUUUGUGGAAGGCAGAGAGGAAAUAUGGAAAGGAAUAAACUUGGUUCUUGAUAGCACUAGAUCAAACUGUACCUGAAGCUAGUCCUACCCUUGGCCUUUUCAGUGAUGCAAGUUUAUGCAAUUUUAUAAAGGAUGAAAGCAUUCUACUUCACUGUUUUAUCUUGUAUGUUGCUUUCAACUGGAAUGAAUAUCAUAAACCAUUUCCUUACUAGCCUCCUGUCCCCACUUGAACAAUGCCAAUCAGGUACUAUCUUCCCUAUGAAUUCGUUACUGAGCAAGAAUUACAAACACUGGAGUUUCAGAUCUGUUGAGGCUGCCCCAAGAGCACAUGUGUUGCAUUGGAGAGCCAUGAUUUUGAACACUGGCUCGGUACUUUGCAGCUGUGUGACUUUGGACCAUUCACCUAAACUCUCUAAAACACUCCUCCCAAUCUGAAAAAAUACUGUUACAUUAAUGUGAGCGUUUUAUCUCAUGCUACUUUUGUGAAGAUAAAGUGAGAUAGUCCACGUGUAGCACGUAUCAGGGGCCGUGACACAGGACGAAUGCUCAGUAAGUUCUGAUGCUAUUGUUGUUAGUAUCAACAUACUUACCAAGGAACCCACCACGUAGAAAGAGACCAAUAAACUGAAUCUGCACUUAUUAGCCCAGUAAAUAUUUGCUACACUAGUAGUUUUAAAAUUGAUGAAUAGAUGGUUGAGGAAAUACAUGAGGAAAUUAAAAUAUAAUUCAAUGAAAAAAGUGGACGAAUGAACAAAGGAAUGAAGGGGAGCUGGUAACUGAGAACUAAGGGCACAAGUAGAGGGGCUGGGCGAGGGGAUGAGAAGGAGGAGGGCAGAGUAGAGUGACACCUGUGCUUUAUGGGAAUGUCCUCCCCAUGCUCUGUGUCCCCAUCAGGGGAAUGCUCUGCAGUGCUGCUCCCUCUUACUCUCAUUACUGCAGGUCAUCUGUCAGGAGCUUUUUGACGGGCAGCUUUACAGACAGCCAUAAAGCAGCACUUACGGCCAAAGUCACCAUGUGCUGUUGAGCUCUGUAUUUAGGGUGUCUACAUCAUUUUCUUCCCUUUCUCUGGGUCCUAGUCACUCCAUGCACUGAUGGAAUUUAGCAUAGAUGGUUUAAUUCCUUCUAAUGGCUCCCUGUAGCCUCUGAGAUAAAAGUCAAAGGACCUCAAGACUCGAAGGUCCAAUAAGAGUAAACAGGACAAUGUGGAUGUUUACUGAGUGUGUAUUUCAGUCCAGAACGAGAGACUUGGCCAGGCCAAGAGAGCUCACCAUCUUGAAUGGACCACCUCAUCCAACUUUCACAACUGUAUGUGGCAGCUACAAUCAUUAGCUCCGCUCUGCUGAUGCACUAACAGAAACCCAUCAAAACCAUGUUACAUUACAUGUUCAAUAUCACUAGAAGUGGCACCAAAAGGAUUUUAGCCAAGAAGACCAUAUCUGGAAUCUCUGUCCAGAGGGCUUUAGACUCCAUUAUGCUCUACCUUGUGUCAAUUCCUACUGUAUUUGAAGCUAUAAACGGUGUGGCCCUUCUGCUUCCUUCAAAACCUUGAAAACUCUGUGGAAGUGAGUUUCUUGAAAUAAAUUCUUCAAAUGUGGACACGUUAGGGACACCUUGAGAUCAGUUUUAAAAGCUCGUGCUUAUGGAAUUUUUUUGGGAAAAAGAGUUUUAAAGAAUUCCCCCAUCUUAUUCCAUUGGUCCUUAAUAGCCUUGGACUUCUGUUUGGAAUUGGACUUCAAGGGAUCACAUAGCAUUCUUGGUGCUAGGCAUCAAAACUGCCAAUCUGGUCCUCACAGCCAGGUUUGGCCACGAUGGCUUAGUGGGAAUUUUGGUUUUUUGUUUGUUUGUUCAUUUUGAUUUUUAGGGCUACACCCAUGGCAUAUGGAAGUUCCCAGAGUAGAGGUUGAAUUGGAGCUGCAGCUGCCAACCUACACCACAGCCACAGCAAUGUGGAAUCCGAGCCACAGCUGUGACCUAUUCCAUAGCUCACGGCAACACAGGAUCCUUAACCCACUGAGCGAGGCUAAGGAUAGAACCCAUAUCCUCAUGGACCCUAGUCGGGUUCGCUACUGCUGAGCCAUAAUGGGAACUCCUGGGAAUUCUGUUUUAGAUACACUUUCCUGUCAAGCUGGCCAAGGAGCUAUGCCAUUUGCAGGGUUCCAACACCUAGCUUCAUGGAGCAGAGUUUAGAGAAGGGAUUUGGAGGCAAGAAGCAAUAGCUUAAUAACUCUUAUACUGGAAACUCAGAAGUUCUUUUGAUUCUGAGAAUUACAGAGACUAAUAGGACACUUUGCUACUUCUGAGGGCAGAUUCAAAUCCUUUUUAAGACAGUGUAGCUUACAAAUAAUUUAUUGGUCAAAAUUAUGGUUGGCCAACUUCCUUGAAAAAAGGCAAGAAAUAGGUGGAGCUACUUAUUCAAAAUUUUUAGCAACAGAUGACAAUAAACAUUUCUGAGUUGUCGCUCAGCUUCUAAUCCCCCCCGCCCCAGCUUUUUUUUUUUUUGCCAUUUCUAGGGCCACUCCCAUGGCAUAUGGAGGUUCCCAGGCUAGGGGUCUAAUCGGCGCUCUAGCCGCCCGCCUACGCCAGAGCCACAGCAACACCAGAUCUGAGCCACGUCUGCAACCUACACCACAGCUCACAGCAAUGCCGGAUCGUUAACCCACUGAGCAAGGCCAGGGAUCGAACCCGCAACCCCAUGGAUCCUGGUCCGAUUCGUUAACCACUGCGCCACAACAGGAACUCAGCAACUUCUAAUUUCCUUGAAAAACUUCCCUUACAACUUACAAUUGGUACUUUUAAGAGAAAUAAUGAUAGUGGUCAAGGAAAUUAGAGGAGGAAGAAAGUUAGAAAUCGUGAGAAAAGCUAACUAUAAGAAACAAAUGGCCAUAUGGAUGAGAGUAAGACACUUCCAGGAAAUGCCUUACCUUGUACGGGAUGUAGUAAUGCUUCUUCCAGUGAUAACCUAACCUGAUGAGGGGGAAUAUGGAGCAGGAGAGGGAGAGGGAGAGUUCUCUGGUUGUCAGAGAGAGAGAAACUAAACUCAGACAAGCCUAAUAAAAGAGUGUACGUGUAUGCAUGUACACACACACACAUUGUUCUUCGCCCCACCCCGCCCCAGCUUUGAUCUGAGAAGAACACAGGACAAGCUUUAGGCAUGGUUGGAUCCCAUCAGGAAUCAUUCUUUCCACUUCUUGGUUCCACUUUUACUUGUGACACUUCAUUCGUAGGAAGACUUUUUUUUUUCCUUUUCUUUUUUUGGUUGCCAGGUGGCAUAUGGAAUUCCUGGGCCAGGGAUCAGAUACGAGGCAUAGCUGCAAACUACAGGAUCAGAACCGAGCCAUAGCUCCAACUUAAGCUGCAGCUGCAGCAACACCAGAUCCUUAACCCACUGUGCCAGGUGGUGAAUUAAACCUGUGCCCCAGUGCUUCAGAGACUCCACAGAUCCAUUGUGACAAAGGGGGAACUCCUCAAGCAGACUU